AGUCAAGACUCUUGAAUGAGUGGUGUAGGCAAAUGAGAAAAAGAUGAAGACAAUGGUUACAUUUAUGUCGGGAAAAAUACGCCCCAAAUGGGUUGGUAAUGCUUGUUAUAAAGACGGCGAGUGUGGCUGAGAGGUUUCCCAAGUCACGAGAAGUUUGCAAGGGAAGUGGACGGGCGUCUCAAGCAGUAUCAUUUGAUGCUGCAUUCUCAGAUUCCAUGACGUUGGUCUCCAGUGUUCUGUGGGGGGGAAAUGGCUGCAUCGCAAUGAAUGCCAACUCCUGCAAGUGUUCAGCCAAUCGGUUCUGCUGCUCGAUGGCAGGGGCCAUUUUAAUUUGUCUGUUUGCUGCCAUUGUGGCAACAUAAGUUCUGCUGGGUGAGUUGUGAAAUCAAUUAUUUUGAUCCAUUAGUACCAUCUAAUGACUAAUUAUCCAGUCCAAGGAUUUCAUGUCACUUGACAUGUGUACUUACACCAUGAUGACCUAGUUAUGUUAAUAUAUAACUUGCUACAGCUGUCAGUGAUUCUGCUUAACAUACAUUGCUUGAGUAAUUACUAUGAUAACUCACAUUACCAUCUGAGACAGUGGAUAUUAUAGUGGUCCUGUGUACUUGUCCAUGUUUCAAUAUGUAAUCAUGGAUUUCUCUGCAUUCAGGCCACAAGGUGGUUGUUGAGGGUGUCAACAUCUUUGGAACAAAUGUAAGUAAUUUACACUUUGUAUUUGUGACAUUCGCAUUUUUGAUGUACUUGUGUUAUGGGAUAAUGCCUGUAGCGCGUCUAUGAUGAUUGCGAUUUCGGUUCCUGAAUUAAACUGAUGCUUUCUCGCAGCGCACUGAGACACAAAUGCCAAAUAUCAAGAGCAUGUGAAUGAAUUAGUCUUGAAUCUGUCAUUCACUACAUGAUCACUUGCACUGAUAAGAUUAUAUAGGUUGGUUUCCCCAGUGACCUUAUUGUUUCAACGGAGUAGCUGAUAAAUCCAAUUGGGUUAGAUGUUUUCAUAUGUACAUUGUAAUGGAGGUAGUAAUUGCUGCUCUUUCCUUUCUUGAGGUUGAGUGUUGCUCCUUUGCCCUGCCCAGACUGCGGACUCCAGGAUUACUUGUAUAAGUUGACAGGACUUGGAGGAUCCUGAAAUAGAUGGGAGAUUCUUCAAGAGCUUCAGUUGUGAAAUGAAAUGCUUAACGUAGGCAUUUAGUUGAUUGGGGGACUUUGCUGUAUGCAUGAACAAUUUAUCUUGGCUUUGAUUCCCUGAAGUUGCCAAGACUACAAUCAAGGAAUUUCGUUGGCGAUAUCCGACACCUUCCUACCAAAGGCUAACACUCUGACAACUGCUGUAAAAAGGAUAUGUAAUUGAAAGUCAAUUGCCACUUAUCAUGCAAUUAGUGCUUGCAGUGUUUGAAUAAAAAAAAUGGAGUCA
ensembl:lncRNA